GCUGACUUGAAACAUUGUUAACAGUUUCAGGGCCAUGGGCCUUUCUCAUGAUGGAAAAAUACAGAAUGAAUAACAUGAAGACAGGGACUGUGCAAUGAGUUGGGGGGGGCACAUUCAGAACGUAGUGUUGCGAGAACAAACAGUCUUUUGUUAGAUAACAGGAGCCAGGUGCGAGAUAACGGUAUUGAGCAUGAGCGCAUAGAUAUUCUUCACAGCAACAGUUACAUCUAUCAACUGGAGCGCCCGGGGGCCGGGACCAGCUCUGCGCCAACAAUCAACGAUAGGUUGGGUGAGCCUAAACCACGCCCAGUCUCUACUCUGACAGACCGGCUCGGAAGCAGGAACUAUUUCUGUCAGAGUAUAUUAUAAUAUCUUUAUCAAGAACAAGUCAGUUCUCUGUUUUGCCCUGCGAGGUGGGACAGAGAGCCCGUAUAUACGAAAAUUGCAUUUACCACUUAUUGCUUAGCUAAUAAAAAAUACAUAGCAUACAAUCGGUGACUCAUUGUCAUAUUUAUCCUGAUACCAGAUUUGAAUUGACGCAACCCUGACAAUGAGUUACAUGAAACAUUGAGGAAAUUUAAAAUGAAUAAUUUAAGAGGGUACAAUGGUAUUGUCAGAAUUAUUAGGUUUUGUUUGUAGUAAACGUUUGGGUUUGAGGGGAUUUCAUUAGUACAGCCCAGCGACAAGAUAUCUUAAAGGGAUACACUCACAUAUAGAAUAUUAGAAGUUUUGUUUUCUGAGUUUUUCACUAAACACGUGAACUCUUUAGAUAAAGGGUUCUUUAAUAUGUCUAAUAUAGUAUGGAACAUGACUGUAAAAGGGUGGUGUAACCUUUGACUUCUAUCAUGGCUUUCUCUUGUGGUCUAAUCAGCCACAGGGGAGGGCCAUUUGGAUAAUGAAUUUGUGGUCAUUUGGGAUACUGGUUUUAAAAGUAAAUUAAUUGUAAUGGAGUUUAUAGCUCUUAGACAUAAUUAUAGUUUGAACCACAGAGGAGAAAGUGGAAUUAAGGCAGGGUAAAUUAUGGGGAGUGGGGGAAUAAACUCUAGUGAGGAAGAGGUUCAGGAUUCUGUUUUAAACAUUGGCUGUGAAGGUUUCGAUUUGGCUACUAUUGACUUAGUAUUACAACAGGAACAGAAAUCUGUCACGACUUCUGCCGAAGUCGUUGCCUCUCCUUGUUCGGGCGGUGCUCGGCGGUCGACGUCACUGGCCUUCUAGCCAUCAUUGAUCAAUUUUUCAUUUUCCAUUGGUUUUGUCUUGUCUUCCCACACACCUGUUUUCAAUCCCAUUCAAUACCUGUUGUGUAUUUAACCCUCUGUUUCCUCUCAUGUCUUUGUCAGAGAUUGUUUUAUUGUCAAGUGUUGUUUUAUGUUGUAUAGGUGCGUGACGGGUCCUCGUACCCAUGUUCGUUUAUGUAUGUACGUAUUUAGUGUUUGGAGCAUGUUAAGUGGACUUAUAUUAACCUCUCUGCGCACGGAACGCGCUAGCGGGCUGAAAUUCCACAACAUAAGGUGAUCGCUACAUAAAUAGUCAUAUUAAACAUUCAUGAAAAUACAAGUGUCUCACGUGUUGAAAGCUUAGAAUCUUGCUAAUCCAACUGCGUUUUCAGAUUUAAAAAAGGAUUUACUGUGAAAGAAUACGAUGCAAUUAUCUGAGCAUAGAGCCCCAUAAAAAACAACAAUUUUAACCAGCACAGGCGUAACAUAAUCACAAAAUGCAUUAAAAUAAAUUGUUUACAUUUGACGAUCUUCGUCUGUUUGCAAUUCCAAUGCUCCUUGUUACAAAUGAAUGUUCUUUUGUUUGAUAAAAUCCGUUUUUAUAGCCUAACACAAAACAUUUUGUGAACCGCUUGUGUCAUGAAUUCCGUAUCAUUCCAUUUUCGACGACACAUUCCAGGACCUGAGCCCAAGGACCAUGCGUCAGGACUACCUGGCAUGAUGACUCCUUGCUGUCCCCAGUCCACCUGGCCUUGCUGCUGUUCCAGUUUCAACUGUUCUGCCUGCAGCUAUGGAACCCUAAACUGUUCAUUUUUACUCUUGAGGUGCUGUCCUGUUGCACCCUCUACAACCACUGUGAUCUCCACCCGGCACAGCCAGAAGAGGACUGGCC
ensembl:lncRNA